GUUAUUUAAUUUUUCAAUUUGUAAAUCUAACAUUUCUUCAAUGAUCAGUGUUAUUUCUUUCUCUCUGUGCACGUCAGAGGUUUUACUCUUUGAUUUUGUCUCAUUUGUGGUCUUUGUUCUGUUGUACAGUUCUAGAUGUUAAAAUAUAGACUAAGCUCUAUUUUAUAACCAC